GAUCUUUCCUUCUAUGGAGCCGGAUGUGAGCUUCUCGCCUACGGAUCUUACUCAAAAGAGUCUCAGGGAGCAGACACAUCAAUAGCAGCAGACGCAGAGGCAAGAUCUCUAUAUGUUGAUAGAUACCCGAGAGACUAAGUCCUUUCCUUAAGGCAUGCCCCUACUCAACUUCCUAUUGCAAAUGCCAAAGCAACAAGAGCGGCUACUCCAAGUUCUUUUCUUUCUGACCCCCAGCUCAGGAAAAAGAGCUAACAGCUGCGGGAGAGGCAACUUCUCUUUCACUUCAUUCACGGGAGACCUACCAAAUCUGCGCAUUUCUAUAAGUCAUGGUCACAUGUCUUGUGAACAUUCAACCAUCAAGAGGGAAGGUCAAAGAGAGCUGCGUCUUCGACGGUGCUGCUAAGAAAGUGCAGCUUGUAGCUCUGAGAGACUUUAUGAAUUGAAAGUAAGCCUCAAGCGAAGUUUCCAUCAAAGGAAGUGAAGGAUGAGGGAAGGGAGGGAGAAUUCCUGCA
rnacentral:lncRNA from 1 species